GUGCCAGUCAUCGCGGUUAUACCAAAAAGAUUGGUCAUAUUUUAUUGGUUGAAAGUGUAGUAAAAUUAUUAAUUUAUUUUUAUUGUUACUUUUUUUAGGUGAAAUUAAAAAAGUAAUUUAAUUUAUUUAAAAAUUUUAUAUUGAUUCUACUAAAAUUUUGAGGGAAACUGGGAUUAGAUACCCCAUUAUUCUUAAAAGUAAAUAUAUAAUACCUAGGUAUUACGAAUAAUUAUAUUUAAAAUCUAAAGAACUUGGCGGUAUUUUAGACUAUUUAGGGGAGCCUGUCUCGUAAUCGAUAAUCCACGACCUACCUAACCUUUAUUGGUUGACAGUUUGUAUACCGUUGUCGUCAGGUAACUUUUAAGAAUAAAAAAGUUAACAAUUAAAGGAUUUAAUUUUUACGUCAAAUCAAGGUGCUGCUUAUAUAAAGGAGAGGAUGGGCUACAAUUACGAAUUUUUAAUGAUGGAUUAGAAUUAGAAUAAUUUUAUGAAGGAGGACUUAAAAGUAAAUAUUUAAUUAUAUAAAUUUCUUGAAUUUAGCUCUGAAAUGUGCACACAUCGCCCGUCGCUCUUGUUAAAAAAUAAGAUAAGUCGUAACAUAGUAGGGGGGUAA
rnacentral:rRNA from 1 species